ensembl:lncRNA RMST rhabdomyosarcoma 2 associated transcript
GGAGCCUGACUGUGAGAACUGUCUGUAUUCAAACAUGUUAAGAGCUGAAUAUUUAAAAUUUGUUUGGCUCACCAAGCUUGGCUUUCUGAAGACAACAGAAGUGGGAUAGAGAGAUCAAAAAGAAAAAAAAAAUCAUAAAAGUAUUGCUAAACAAUCAAAUGCAAGGUAUUUUGUCUUCUUUCACUCCUUAAAAGAAAAUCAAUCAAUUAAUACACAAAGAUAAAAGUGAGAAACCUACUGUAAUCUACUAAGGUCCAGGAAUUUAAAGAAUCAAAUGUACCUUCUGGGUUUCGGAAUCCAUCGGGGAGAAUGUAGAGGGUGAUGAGAAGACUUUGCAUUUGACCAAAAAGCACUAGUAAAUAAGGAGUUAAAAUGAAGGCAGGCUCGCUGGUUUGCUGAGAUCUGUCAGAGUCUGACUGGCUGGCUACAUAUCUGUCUCUGGAACAAUAGGUACCUGUAUUCUGCACGGACUGCUGGGCAGCACUAGCACUCUGGAGAAGGUCUGCCGCUGUCUGCACUUUCCUGGUUCUAUGCAGGCAGAUGAGUGUCACAGCUGUAACUGAGGCACAGAGCAGUACACACAGUGGAGCCGAUUUCCGCGAUGGCGAGAGGGGGCACCGGAGGUGACAACAAUAACAAGACUGUCCUUCGGACAAGUUUUAGCGCUGAAUAUCUUCAGGAAAAUGGGUUCCAUGAGAAGUGACAUCCUCCUCGAAUCAAAAGGAAGAAUGACUUGGGCAAUACCAAAUGUUGAGUUAUCAAGUAUUUCGAUACCCAUAUGCAUCAUCUGCUAUUCUCAGGAUGAUGGAGUGAGUGAUGGAAUAGGUUGCCAACUGUAGUUACUCCACUCAGCACAGAAUGGCUGCGGGGAAAUAUAAUCAGACAUGCCCAAAGAAGUCUGCUUAGGGUGAAACAAAUACCUUUGAGGUUUAAAUCAGAAAGGAAGGAGAGACUGUUUCUACAGGUGUCAUACAAAAAUCAAUACUGAGCCAAGGAUUAUUGGAUCCCAUAGAACCACGGAGACUUGGUAGUGAAAUUCUUCCAAAGCAUUCCAUCCGUGCAGGCAGAUGGUGUUCCUAGGUUUGGAAAUAUAAAUCCCAUGGGAAGUCAGCUGAAGACCAUUUUAUGCAUCACUCAUCCUGUUAGAGCCCUGUGCUGUUCUGUCUCUCUAUAAGACUGGCUGAAACCACCACGGUUGUUUACAAUUUAUGCUCUAACUUUGGAUCACCUAGUUAAUACUCUAACUCCGAUUAUUACCAAAGACAAUGUUCUAUAAAAGAUAUUGUCUAUUAGAAGGAUGCUUCUGCAUUAUUAAUAAAAUCACAGGGAAAAUGCAACAUUUUGGAUGUCACAUCUGAUAAGUGGGUGACUGAUCGUACCCGCCAGCUGGCUAAUGUCAUAAUUAACAAAGUUGCUACUACAUCUGCAAAGUUUAAUCGAAAAAUUUGCCAGUGAUAUGAUGGCCUUGUCACAGAGAUCACAAGGGACACGGAGUUGACUUUUGCUCAAGGUGGAACGACAGAGCUGUGUAGGCAAGAUGAGAAAUUGCGAACUUGUUCGGCCAAAGCAGCAAGACAAGACAAGUAAUAUUGCAUUCAUUUUCUAUAAAGUACACGGAGAUGUUAAGUGAUUUACCUGGUAUUACUUCAGUGAAAACAGGAAAGAUGAAGGUAGGAGAAUAUACUUGGAAUCCUUUUCCGGACUGUUUGGAAAAACAAGGAACGACUAUGCUCUGGAGAGUCCUGUAAUUUGCAGAAAAUGGACCAAGAUAACAUUUGAGUUCCAUGCUACCAAAAUCCUCUUGAGAAGGACAGCUAGCUACCCAGAAUAUUUAACAUUGUGACAUUGAAAUGUUGGAUGAACGAUUAAAAUGAAGAAUCUAGUCAUAGGUUGUAAGAAAUCGCUAAAUUAUUAUGUUUAAUCCAAAGAAGAGAAAGGAAAAGCUGUUUUCAUUCCCCCCAGCCUCUGAGGAGGCUAAUAAUGAAGGGGCCGGGAAGGAGGCCAGUGCUACCAGGGUUAUCUCACAACCUCAGAUGCUGGAUAAGUCGACGGAGGCAGAAUCGCUUUGGGAUGACAUUCAGAAAGCCUGGAGUGAUUACUUGCAAGAGAAAAGCCUACCUAUUCUUUCCAAGGUGCAGGAAUAUUCCCCUGACCUGCUCAUCCAGUGGUCCAGUAAUGAAUUACUGGAGACCUGCCUUAGACAAAGAAUGCACUCGGAGCCCCAACACACCUAAAGCCAUGCUUUGAAGGAUCUGCCAAGCUCACUUUUAAUCAUGAGAAAGAAAUUACCCACACGGAGUCAGCAGAAAAUGAGAAAGUAGAGCUCGUGCUGUGAAUAAUUCCAGCAAGUGCCAAGGGGCUAGUUGAGGAAUGGCUUCAUGAGAACAUGCUCUAGGGGAACUAUUAAUAGCCCACCAGUCGGGUAGGCAGCAUUCAAUCCUUCUAUGCCUUCUUUCGCCACCUGUUGAGGUCUUUCUUCUGAAACAAAGAAGAAAUAGACAAAUCAGACUUGCCCUCUUGGAAAUGUGGUCCAGAUUUCUCUACUCCCAAGCUCCAAAAAAGGUAUACAUUGGAUGGGCUAGAUCAACUCCUCCUGAGAGCCAUAAAUCCGCCAAGAGUUGUUUUCCAUGUAAGGGUGUGGUACAAUGGGGAACACCUGAUGUUGGAGGAAAGCAGGAGGACUUUAGAGUGGAGUUGCAUUCUAAUCUCUCUGCCGCUUCAACUAUGUGACCUGGGGCAAAUGAUAUAAACUCUAUGAGCCUCUUUCCUUAUCUUUAAAAUGAAGAGAAGUAAUACCUACCUUGUAGGGCUGUUGUGAGGAUUAAAUGAAGUAAUGCAUACAGUGCCUAACAAAGUAUUUAACAUCAUAUUUUUUAAAAGCUCAUGAAAUAUUAGUUUUUCUUCCUUCCCCUCUUUCUAUUUUCUCUCCUGUUCCCUUUUCUCUCCCUCCUCUGCCCUCUCCUUCCUUCAGAUGUUAGUCUAAAACAGCACCUUGGAUCUAAGCAGCACCUUUGAGAAAGAAAAGACUGCUUCAAGAAUGUCUAGUUGCACCUCCUUUCCGUAUGUGGCCUAAAUGCCUAGGUUGGAUCAAUAGUUUAAUUUUUUUAUUGAACUGUUUAAUAUUGACUAUGGACUUACAUUCACUUUUACUGUUUUCUGUAUAUUUACUUUUGCUUGAAGUGUUUUAAUAUUGACUAUUUACCUCUGCUCAUUUUUAUUGAUUUUCUGUAUUUUUUCAAUGAAAAUUAUAAUAAAAAUUAUUUUUGUUA